CGAAGAUGAGUUUCUAUGUCGUCGACGGUCAAUACUAUGUCGUCGACGCCAACAAUGGUUUGGGGUGAUCAUCAUGUCGUUGGACAGGGGAGCCAACAAGCUGCUAUGCCAUUGGGACGGGGGUGAUUUACCGCCAUGGGUCCACCAUCCCACCUAUGAUGUUUCUGGCGGAAGAAUAUUGCCUGGAUUUGCAAUGAGAUGCUGUUAACCGUAAUUUGUUACGAAACAUUCUGUUGGCAUUAGAGU
rnacentral:lncRNA from 1 species